GGCGAACGCUGGUGGCGUGCUUAACACAUGCAAGUCGAACGAUGAAGCCGGAGCUUGCUCUGGUGAAUUAGUGGCGAACGGGUGAGUAACACGUGAAUAACCUGCCCUUGACUCUGGGAUAACUGCGGGAAACUGUAGCUAGUACCGGAUACGACCCUCGGAGGCAUCUCCUGGGGGUGGAAAGAAUUUCGGUCGAGGAUGGACUCGCGGCCUAUCAGCUAGUUGGUGAGGUAAAGGCUCACCAAGGCGACGAUGGGUAGCCGGCCUGAGAGGGUGACCGGCCACACUGGGACUGAGACACGGCCCAGACUCCUACGGGAGGCAGCAGUGGGGAAUAUUGCACAAUGGGCGCAAGCCUGAUGCAGCAACGCCGCGUGAGGGAUGACGGCCUUCGGGUUGUAAACCUCUUUUAGCAGGGAAGAAGCGAAAGUGACGGUACCUGCAGAAAAAGCACCGGCUAACUACGUGCCAGCCGCCGCCGUAACAC
rnacentral:rRNA from 1 species